UAAGGAUUUAAGUUAAACUAAACUAAUAACCUUCAAAGUUAUAAAUAGAUAAGAUCUAAGCCUUAG
rnacentral:tRNA from 1 species